AGCGCCUAAGCACAGCACAGCACAGCACAGUACGGAAUGGGACCCAGGAUUUAUGGAACACUCAAGAGUGCUGCCAAUUUGCAGCCUACGUAGGAGAGCUCUGCUUUAGAAUCUCCGACAUUGGCAAAUACCCUGAUUCUUUAUCCCAUUUAAGCUUCAUAACUACUGAUAUUAGUAGCCGCAUUGUAAUAAAUGAGGACUGUGGGCUCAGUCAGGAUUUGUCUCAUAGCUAUUGGAGCGUCUACUAUACGAAGGAAUCUGGGCUCUUCAAGUGCAGGGGACAUGGGCUCAGCCUGGCCGGAUGUGUGAAUCAGAGUCCAUCUGAUGCCUCUUGUUACACAUCUAAAUGUGUUAACUUGUUCAAAAGUUCCCAUAAGUUAUGGGCCAGGUUAAAAGAAUGUGACUAUCAUCAUCCUGUGAUUCUCCAUCUUAAAGUCUAUGGUAGAAAGCCAUCUACCUUUCACUUCGUUUGACUUGCUCAAACAAGAAAUGUGGGAAGAUCUUCAACUCUAAAUAAGCCCUAUCUUCCCGCCAUCUAUCUGGAUCUAGCCCCUGGGAAAAGAGAUGGGUCUUUAACCUUGCUUUUUCUGCAAACUAUCAAGCAUGGUCCCCAGAUUUGUCCAGAGGCAGUAUUCCAAGGUGAACUAAUAUAAAACUGUUGCAGUGGUCCUUUGGCGGUGCUGAGCGCAGUUGCAAAUGCUUCCAGAUCAUUGUCUGCCUGACCCCCAACUUGUGAGUUACCUGGUAAUAA